rnacentral:rRNA from 1 species
UACGUAGGGUGCGAGCGUUGUCCGGAAUUAUUGGGCGUAAAGAGCUUGUAGGCGGUUUGUCGCGUCUGCUGUGAAAUUUCGGGGCUCAACCCCGAACUUGCAGUGGGUACGGGCAGACUAGAGUGUGGUAGGGGAGACUGGAAUUCCUGGUGUAGCGGUGAAAUGCGCAGAUAUCAGGAGGAACACCGAUGGCGAAGGCAGGUCUCUGGGCCACUACUGACGUGAGAAGCGAAAGCAUGGGGAGCGAACAGG